ACAUACCAGUGUUCUGAAAAAUCCCCCACAUAGCUCAAAAUGCAAAAUGCACUGCCUUUAAACGCAGUAUCCAAAGGACGCAGUUCCUCAACCACAAUGGAAGUGUGAAAGCUUCACCCUGAGACUGACGGAACAGCAUGCAAGGAUAGAGGUUUUACAAAGGCUUUCCCACCAGCCAACAAGGAGGGAUAGUUCUAAAGGUUAGACCCUGGGCUGUGCCUGAGCACAAGGCUCCUGCUUUGUGUCUACAUACACCAGGGCUGUCGUCAUAGAUCUCUAGGAUACGUGUACGUCUCCCAUGCCUUACACAACCUCCGCUCUUCCUGGCCCCAGUCCAAUGUCAUCCGUAUAGCUCUGGUUAAGGAAAUCAGCAUCAGUCAGGAAGCUCAGCCUGAGUUUUGGCCCUGGUGACGUGAGCUGGGCCAAACUCACAGCUUGAAAACACCUCGUAAGACUGAACUCUCACCCGCUGUAUCACCUGAGCAUUGUGUUUCAGCUACACCAGCGAGGAGGUAGACAUCUCUGGGGAAGCCACGUGUGAAUUAGCCUCAGUCCCUAACAGCUUCAGGUUAAAUCGGUUACAAGCAUUUUUCCUUGGAGGGUGUGAGGCAAGGAGAGAAUAAAAACAAGGAGCCCAGAGGAGACUCAAGGGUUCAUCAGGAGUACUGGCAGAGCCUGUAGAUAAAGGAUGAGAUGCAGACAGAGGCCGGUGAGGGUCCUGGAGGCAUUCCGCUAAGAGAGGAGCGGGAGGAAGUCAGUCGUGGUCUUUAAUUUGUUUAAUGAUUCCCAACAUCUGAAGAUCUGGAUAUUUUCCCAUAAAUUCUCAGCUUUCCGUCUGCCACAUCGUCCACUCAUUCCUACAAAGCAUCAGUCAGCAAGACUGGAAAUCACCAUCCCCUUUAGAUGGAAUGCACCCUCUCCAGUUCGGAAAAAAAAAAAAUUAAGAAGGGGGGCGGGGAGCCAGAUUCUGUCAGAGUUCCCAUCCAAGUCCAAGAAUAUGAGCCACUAUAAUCAUGAAGAAGUUAUUUGACCUGAUUUACGGAUUGAGGCCAAUAACAGCACUGCACAUAGGGUCCUUUGAUGAUUAAACCAGUUAAUACCUAUAAAUCACUUAGACCAGAGCCUGGAUUUCUGCUCCCGAACCCUAAGGCCAUCUCCAAUGUGAGUAAUGCUGUCCCUGCUCUGUUUGGUGCCAGGCUCCCCUUGGCAUUUGAGCCUGUGUCUUUCUGUGACAGGAGAGUUUGGCGAGGGAAGGAUUUGGGAGAUCAAAAGGCCCCUGCAAAUCCUCACCGCACCCUCUUGUUCCUUAGGUGUGUGGUUUUGAGCGAUUUCCUUGCAUCUUUGGCCUUCUGCUUCUUUAUCUCCC
rnacentral:lncRNA from 1 species